CAGUAGCCGCGGGAAUACGUAGGUGGCAAGCGUUGUCCGGAAUUAUUGGGCGUAAAGGGCUCGCAGGCGGUUUCUUAAGUCUGAUGUGAAAGCCCCCGGCUCAACCGGGGAGGGUCAUUGGAAACUGGGAAACUUGAGUGCAGAAGAGGAGAGUGGAAUUCCACGUGUAGCGGUGAAAUGCGUAGAGAUGUGGAGGAACACCAGUGGCGAAGGCGACUCCCUGGUCUGUAACUGACGCUGAGGAGCGAAAGCGUGGGGAGCGAACAGGAUUAGAUACCCCUGUAGUCCCUGUCUCUUAUAC
rnacentral:rRNA from 1 species